rnacentral:rRNA from 1 species
CCAAUAGCGUAUAUUAAAGUUGUUGCAGUUAAAAAGCUCGUAGUUGAACUUCGGGAUCAAUUAGUUGGUCAUGCCUUGGUAUGUACUGAUUUUAUUGGUUCUCACCUUCUAAAGAACUAUAAUGUCAUUUAUUUGAUGUUAUAGGGAAUUAGGACUGUUACCUUGAAAAAAUUAGAGUGUUUAAAGCAGGCUCACGCUUGAAUACAUUAGCAUGGAAUAAUGAAAUAGGACAUCGCAUUCUAUUUUGUUGGUUUCUAGGAUCGAUGUAAUGAUUAAUAGGGAUAGUUGGGGGCAUUAGUAUUCAAUUGUCAGAGGUGAAAUUCUUGGAUUUAUUGAAGACUAACUACUGCGAAAGCAUUUGCCAAGGAUGUUUUCAUUAAUCAAGAACGAAAGUUGGGGGAUCGAAGACGAUCAGAUACCGUCGUAGUCUUAACCAUAAACUAUGCCGACUAGGGAUCGGAUGAUGUUGAUUUUUUAAUGACUCAUUCGGCACCUUACG